UAAUUCUAGAGCUAAUACAUGCUGUUAUGCCCGACUUACGAAGGGCGGUAUUUAUUAGAUAACAACCAAUAUUCUUCGUGUCUAUUGUGGUGAUUCAUAAUAACUUUCGAAUCGCACGGUCUUUGACCGCGAUAAUUCAUUCAAGUUUCUGCCCCAUCAGCUUUCGAUGGUAGUGUAUUGGACUACCAUGGCAAUAACGGGUAACGGAGAAUUAGGGUUCGAUUCCGGAGAGGGAGCCUGAGAAACGGCUACCACAUCUAAGGAUGGCAGCAGAGGCGUAAAUUACCCAAUCCUGAUUCAGGGAGGUAGUGACAAGAAAUAACGGGUCGGGGCAUUUGCCUCGGGAUU
rnacentral:rRNA from 1 species